AUACGGAGGGUGCGAGCGUUAAUCGGAAUUACUGGGCGUAAAGCGUACGUAGGCGGUUGGUUAAGUUAGAUGUGAAAGCCCCGGGCUUAACCUGGGAACUGCAUUUAAAACUGGCGAACUAGAGUUGAGUAGAGAGGAGUGGAAUUUCAGGUGUAGCGGUGAAAUGCGUAGAGAUCUGAAGGAACACCAGUGGCGAAGGCGACUCCCUGGACUCGAACUGACGCUGAGGUACGAAAGCGUGGGUAGCAAACGGGAUUAGAUACCCUAGUAGUCC
rnacentral:rRNA from 1 species